GGCAUGAAUUCAUCAGGAUCUCAGUCCUUGAGGAACUCACAAUCAAAUAUGUGAAAGAGACAGUAACAACUAAUACACAGUAUGGUGGAAGACAUAGCAGAAUCGUGUGCAAAGCUUCGGCACAACACAGAGGUGGCAAUUACUCCGGGACGAACCGCAGUGAAGUUAACACUUAAGCUGUAGCGAGGCGGAGUCUGGACUUUUCUAGCUUCUGAGUUUCAGAAGCUACCGGAACCAAGGUGCUGCGGGAAUUGAGUGACUCUCGGUCUCAUAUUGUUACUGGACACGGUCGAGGCGUUCCGUCAGUGUUUUCAGACGCCCGGGGAUCGCUGCAGGUUGGGCAGGUUUUCAGCUUACAGUUAGCGGCCGCAACAGCAGAUGAUGAACGGAGCUCUGGGAAAGAUGCUGUGUCUGAGGAACGAUAUCAUUUUUAAGCAAGCCUUUUCUCUCUUAAGGAUCAGAACUUCAGGAGAAAAUCCCAUCAGUUCUGCAGGUGGCAUUCUGCUGAGUACCAGUCGGCACUACAAGACAAGGCCUACCCAUGGCAUUGGAAGAUUCAAGCACCUAGUGAAACCACAGGAGCCCAAGAAGAAGAGGGCAAAAGUGGAAGUGAGACCCAUUAAUUUGGGGACAGAUUAUGAAUAUGGGGUUUUAAACAUUCACCUGACUGCAUACGACAUGGCUGUGGUGGAGAGUUAUGCCCAAUAUGUUCACAACCUCUGUAACCAUCUAUCCAUUAAAGUUGAGGAAAGGUAUGAAGGAAGCCUUUGCAUGGGAUAUUCUUGGUUUACGCUAUGCCCACCAAAACCAUGGAGGUGUUGCGGCUACAGGACCAAGGCAGCAAAAUGCUCCCGGACGCAGUUCUCACCACCCAUGAGCGAGUGGUUCAGAUCAGCGGUUUGAGUGCUACAUUUGCAGAGAUUUUCUUGGAAAUAAUCCAAAGCAAUCUUCCCGAAGGAGUGAGAUUAUCAGUGAAGGAGCACACUGAAGAAGACUUCAAGGGAAGGUUCAAAGCUCGGCCAGAGCUGGAAGAACUGUUGGCCAAGUUGAACUAGCUCACUGCAGACUCU